GUGGGGAAUAUUGCACAAUGGGCGCAAGCCUGAUGCAGCCAUGCCGCGUGUAUGAAGAAGGCCUUCGGGUUGUAAAGUACUUUCAGCGGGGAGGAAGGCGAUAAGGUUAAUAACCUUGUCGAUUGACGUUACCCGCAGAAGAAGCACCGGCUAACUCCGUGCCAGCAGCCGCGGUAAUACGGAGGGUGCAAGCGUUAAUCGGAAUUACUGGGCGUAAAGCGCACGCAGGCGGUCUGUCAAGUCGGAUGUGAAAUCCCCGGGCUCAACCUGGGAACUGCAUUCGAAACUGGCAGGCUAGAGUCUUGUAGAGGGGGGUAGAAUUCCAGGUGUAGCGGUGAAAUGCGUAGAGAUCUGGAGGAAUACCGGUGGCGAAGGCGGCCCCCUGGACAAAGACUGACGCUCAGGUGCGAAAGCGUGGGGAGCAAACAGGAUUAGAAACCCGGGUAGUCC
rnacentral:rRNA from 1 species